GGGGUUGUAGCUCAGUGGUAGAGUGCUUGUCUUGCACGUGUGAGGUACUGGGUUCAAUCCUCAGCACCA
rnacentral:tRNA from 1 species